rnacentral:rRNA from 1 species
GACGAACGCUGGCGGCGUGCUUAACACAUGCAAGUCGAGCGAUGAAGCUCCUUCGGGAGUGGAUUAGCGGCGGACGGGUGAGUAACACGUGGGUAACCUGCCUCAUAGAGGGGAAUAGCCUUUCGAAAGGAAGAUUAAUACCGCAUAGGAUUGUAGCUUCGCAUGAAGCAGCAAUUAAAGGAGUAAUCCGCUAUGAGAUGGACCCGCGUCGCAUUAACUAGUUGGUGAGGUAACGGCUCACCAAGGCGACGAUGCGUAGCCGACCUGAGAGGGUGAUCGGCCACAUUGGGACUGAGACACGGCCCAGACUCCUACGGGAGGCAGCAGUGGGGAAUAUUGCACAAUGGGGGAAACCCUGAUGCAGCAACGCCGCGUGAGUGAUGACGGUCUUCGGAUUGUAAAGCUCUGUCUUCAGGGACGAUAAUGACGGUACCUGAGGAGGAAGCCACGGCUAACUACGUGCCAGCAGCCGCGGUAA